rnacentral:rRNA from 1 species
GACGAACGCUGGCGGCGUGCUUAACACAUGCAAGUCGAACGGAAAGGCCCUGCUUGCAGGGUACUCGAGUGGCGAACGGGUGAGUAACACGUGGGUGAUCUGCCCUGCACUUCGGGAUAAGCCUGGGAAACUGGGUCUAAUACCGGAUAGGAGCCAUUCUUAGUGUGAUGGUUGGAAAGUUUUUUCGGUGUAGGAUGAGCUCGCGGCCUAUCAGCUUGUUGGUGGGGUAAUGGCCUACCAAGGCGGCGACGGGUAGCCGGCCUGAGAGGGUGGACGGCCACAUUGGGACUGAGAUACGGCCCAGACUCCUACGGGAGGCAGCAGGGGGGAAUAUUGCACAAUGGGCGCAAGCCUGAUGCAGCGACGCCGCGUGGGGGAUGACGGCCUUCGGGUUGUAAACUCCUUUCGCUAGGGACGAAGCUUUUUGUGACGGUACCUAGAUAAGAAGCACCGGCUAACUACGUG